rnacentral:rRNA from 1 species
UACGGAGGGGGCUAGCGUUGUUCGGAAUUACUGGGCGUAAAGCGCACGUAGGCGGCUUUGUAAGUUAGAGGUGAAAGCCCGGGGCUCAACUCCGGAAUUGCCUUUAAGACUGCAUCGCUAGAAUUGUGGAGAGGUAAGUGGAAUUCCGAGUGUAGAGGUGAAAUUCGUAGAUAUUCGGAAGAACACCAGUGGCGAAGGCGACUUACUGGACACAUAUUGACGCUGAGGUGCGAAAGCGUGGGGAGCAACAGGAUU